UGAGCUCUCGAGCAGAACUAAUUGUAAAAAGACAAAGAGAAAUUUCGUUUCGGUCGAAAAAUUCCGCCUCGUGGAAUUAGGCCUUAAAGGCCGGAUUCCACGAGGCGGAAUUUUUCGACCGAAACGAAAUUUCUCUUUGUCUUUUUACAAUUAGUUCUGCUCGAGAGCUCU